CUCAUGGAUACCAGUCAGGUUUAUUACUACUGAGCCACCACAGGAACUCCCUUGAUGUCCUAAUUUUCAAAGAAUGUUAAUAAGCUAAAUGUUCUAGGCUAAUAUGUGAAUGAAUCAAGGACAAAGGGUUAUGACUAUCUCAGGGGUUAUGGAGACAACAUUUUCAGAAAAGGGUAAUGAUUCCUAGUAGCUUCUACCAACUCAUAGACAGUGGUGGCUCCUUGGUGGCCAGUGGAAUUUAGUUAUUUCAUCUUCUCGAUGAUGAAAUUGCAUGGCUGGAAGCCCGGAGGUCUGAGAUCCUCCCCAGCCUCUCAGCUUCACAGUCCCUCCCUGGUCAAUUUCACCAUCUCUCAGUUUCCUCAUGUGCACAGUGGGAAGAAUUUCACCUAGCUCACCCGGACUUAGCUACAAUUCAGAUUGGCGAGAUGUAUCAUCUCCCCACUCAUGUUAUUCUAGACCGCCUGACUGUGUAAGCAGAGGACGUCACGAGAGAAGCAAUCUGGUGGAGAAAGACUGAUCAGCAACUUGAGACCGACUGAGGCUCAGUUUCUACUGUCCAGAAAGACUCACGAUAUUGAGACAAAGUCGAUGUGCAGGUAGGCGUUGAUGCCGUUGGAGGCGCCGGGCAGCGUGAUGCCAUGGACCAGGAGCACGAACAGCACGAGGACCCUCCUAGCCUUUGAUGCAUAGGCACACACCGUGAAGCGCCAUGAGCAGGAUUCCAGGUGUUUGAGAUGGUCAGAGCUAUAUUGAGAGGGGAAUCUAACCCACCGAAGAACAGAGUGGAACCUCGCCUCCCUGAUUUGGGAUAUAGCACCUCCAACAACAGAAUCUAAGCUGACAUUAACGCAUAGAACAUCUACAAUAGACCGUGAGCUCCCUAAAGGCAAGAAUUGACUUUUGCUAUCUCUAUAUUCCUGGCAUAUGAUGGGCAUUUAGUAAAC